UUAUUAUUUUCUAUUGUGUUAUAGAUACUGCAUCAAAUAAUGACGAAAAUAAGCCUCCAAAUGUUGAUAAAAGCCAAGUUUGCACAAGCCAGUCGUUAUCCUUAAACAACUCGUGUUCAUUGAUAUAUCGAAUGUUGAGUGCAUCGAUUUAUGCAGUGAUAAUGAAAGUUCCUCGGUCCACAACAGUCGAUCUCAACAUUCCCAGGAUCAGGAAAGUAUAUAUACCCAAGCACAAAGAAGUAGUUCUGGAGGCCAACAGAGAAGUGUCCUAAAACAAAAAUCUAGGCCAUAAGGCAAAUAAUAGUCAGUUUAUCGGCCAGAAUAGGUGUAUUGCACGUUGGAAGGAUCCGUUAAACACUACUGUCGUGUUUCUGGAGAAGAAAGAUGAAAAACAAAAAUACCAGAGUAACAAAUCUAUUCCUUCAUAUUCACGAAAUCAAUUAAGUUUUACUAAAUCUAUACUACGACCAAGGAACAAAAGUAAACAUUCACAUAGUCAAGCAGGUACUGCUAGAAACUCACGGAAAGAGGAAAAACAACCAUGUAUUCCUGCAAGAACCCCGGCGGAGGUACUGCAGCAUUUUAAACCUGGCCAAUUUAUACGGAAUGGUUGUCCGAUUAUUGGUUGUCCUCACAUUGAGAAAGACAUUAUGAAAAUGAGAACACAUUUGGAAAAGAAACAUAACUUAAAUGACAUAUGGAUAAUCCUUGACAAAACAGCGGACCCCGGUAUCGACGUGCGUGCAGUACUGCGUAAUAUCCGAGCCAUGCGUGCAGCUUGCUUUCAGGCCAAAAUCUACAUCCAACAACUACAGCUUUGCCACAACGGAAGUCCCGCCAAGUUCCUUCAAAUGCGAUUUCUAAACGUCAUGUUUGUUCGGCUGCACUGGGAGUCGCACCACAGGAGGUAGCUGCGGAUGAUACUGUAUUGAAGCCAGGAGAAUUACCGAAAUUAAACUAGUGAUA